AUACGUAGGGGACGAGCGUUGUCCGGAAUUACUGGGCGUAAGGGCGCGCAGGCGGUAUAUCAAGUCAGCUGUCAAAGACUGGGGCUCAACCCUGGUAUGCGGUUGAAACUGAUAUGCUGGAGUGCUGUAGAGGCAAGUGGAAUUCCCAGUGUAGCGGUGAAAUGCGUAGAUAUUGGGAAGAACACCGGUGGCGAAGGCGACUUGCUGGGCAGCAACUGACGCUGAGGCGCGAAAGCCAGGGGAGCAAACGGGAUUAGAUACCCCGGUAGUCCUGGCCGUAAACGAUGAAUGCUAGGUGUGUGUGUAGAGAUACAUGCGUGCCGGAGUUAACGCGAUAAGCAUUCCGCCUGGGGAGUACGGUCGCAAGAUUGAAACUCAAAUGAAUUGACGGGG
rnacentral:rRNA from 1 species